UUUAAUCCUAGCUAACAAACCAAGCUCUGGAGGGAUUUGACCCGACAACCGGUUGUGGCCGAGUUUUAGAAUAUUCAAAUAGGUACAAUUUGCUAGAGCCUUUGGAAUUCCUCCCGAAAAAUUGUUGGAUGAGAGAUCAAGAGAUGUCACGAAAGGAAUGAUUGCAGAGAUAUUAUCUGGAAUAGGUCCAACAAGGUCGUUGCUUGAAAGAUCAACACCAGUUAUGCUCGUGCAAUUC
rnacentral:misc_RNA from 1 species